UAUAAUAGGCACAAAGGUAACAUCACCUUAAAGAAACGGUAUUCACCAUAAGGAGAAUUUAACACAAUGUCAAUUUGCAUUCACAUCAAGCAAGUCUGUCAGUAUAUGACAUGUUUCUGGCCGUACCACCCAUCAAUGACAGAGAUGCUUAAGCCACAUGUUAUCCUGCAGGGAUGCAAGUAUGCAACUGUGAGGAGGAAGCCGUCGGUACGAAAAUUCAAAGACACAAGAGGAGGCCGACGGUACGAAACUUCAAAGACAUAAGAGGAGGCCGACAUUACAACGACGGUGAGUAGGCAUAUGAGUUCUUUUUAGACCUAAGAGGGAAUGAGACGGUGAGGAUGGGUGUACGUGUAGGGAUUAGCCUGGUACGUACCGAAAAUACCCGGUACGAUACGGUUCGGUAUGGCAUCGGUAUAUGAAGGUAAAAACCGGAUACCGAAUCGGUACCGAAAAUCGAGUUGGGUCGGGAAAUUCGGGGCUGGUACGAUUCC